UACGGAGGGUGCAAGCGUUGUCCGGAUUCAUUGGGUUUAAAGGGUGCGUAGGCGGAUUGCUCAGUCAGUGGUGAAAGGCAGCGGCUCAACCGUUGAGUUGCCAUUGAUACUGGUAGUCUUGAGUGCACUAGAGGUAAGUGGAAUUUAUGGUGUAGCGGUGAAAUGCAUAGAUACCAUAAAGAACGCCAAUAGCGAAGGCAGCUUACUAGAGUGUAACUGACGCUGAGGCACGAAAGCGUGGGGAGCGAACAGG
rnacentral:misc_RNA from 1 species